AGCUGCCGGCGAUGGAGUCCGUCCGCCCGCCCUUAUAUCGGGGCCAUGGAGAAGGAAAACCGGUCUAAAUUGUUCAUUCCGCCGCACCUGAGCGCGGGGCAGUGGUCUGUGGGCAGAUCCCAGAAUACAGAAACAAUGAAUGACUUGUUCUCAAAACUCUACAAUGAGGCUGAGAAGAUCAAGCAGUGGAAACUGAGUAUGGAAUCAGAACUAAACCAUAAAGAAAGAAAAAUCCAAGAAAAUAGAAAGCUUAUUGAAGCACAGAAUAAA